rnacentral:rRNA from 1 species
UUAAAUUGAAGAGUUUGAUCAUGGCUCAGAUUGAACGCUGGCGGCAGGCCUAACACAUGCAAGUCGAACGGUAGCACAGAGAGCUUGCUCUCGGGUGACGAGUGGCGGACGGGUGAGUAAUGUCUGGGAAACUGCCUGAUGGAGGGGGAUAACUACUGGAAACGGUAGCUAAUACCGCAUAACGUCGCAAGACCAAAGAGGGGGACCUUCGGGCCACUUGCCAUCAGAUGUGCCCAGAUGGGAUUAGCUAGUAGGUGGGGUAACGGCUCACCUAGGCGACGAUCCCUAGCUGGUCUGAGAGGAUGACCAGCCACACUGGAACUG